rnacentral:tRNA from 1 species
GGAGAGAUGGCCGAGUGGUUGAAGGCGCGCGACUCGAAAUCGCGUAGGCGGCCCAAAAGCUGUCUCGUGGGUUCGAAUCCCACUCUCUCCG